rnacentral:rRNA from 1 species
AUACGGAGGGUGCAAGCGUUGUCCGGAUUUAUUGGGUUUAAAGGGUGCGUAGGUGGCGUGUUAAGUCAGUGGUGAAAGCCUGCAGCUCAACUGUAGAGGUGCCAUUGAUACUGACAUGCUUGAGUAUGGACGAGGUAGGCGGAAUUUGUGGUGUAGCGGUGAAAUGCAUAGAUACCACAAAGAACACCGAUAGCGAAGGCAGCUUACUGGACCAUAACUGACACUGAGGCACGAAAGUGUGGGUAGCGAACAGGAUUAGAAACCCCGUAGUAGUCC